UGAACUACCCAAAAUACUUGAAGUGUUCAUACAACAAGAAUAAAUGCAUUGAAAGCUAAUUUGUAUAUGGAAUGUAAUCUGCGAUGAUACCACUGAUU